AAGAUUUUAUUUCAAAUACGUGAUUCAGAGAUACAAUUCACAAUAUUUGACGUAUUUUUUGCUGUGUAGAUCGAUAUAUAAAUAGAAAAGAUGCAAAAUAAUGUCUCAGUUUCCAUUCAUUCACUUCCAAGUUUGCACUGAACGUCAUUCCAGAAAAUGUUGCUGAAAAUCUUUUUCUUUUUCUGCCUCACGAUGCUUUUCUGUUUUUGUGAAGUUGGAGGUUUUCCUUGGCCAAAUCCUGCUACAUAUUGUCCUUAUGUAAAUAUGUACUACAUGAAUCUCAUUUGCGGAUACAAUUCAACAGUUGGAUGAAAAAGGAGACGAAGGAUAUAUCAAAUUAUUGCGUUAAAAUGUGAUCGAAUUUGAACAAUAAAAUUAAUAUUUUAAAUUAAAA